AAAGCUUGCAACACCAGACAGUACCAGUCAGUCUGGAAUCAAUUUGGAGUGGGCAAAUCUACUGUGGCGGUUGCUGUCAUGCAAGUAGCUAACGCAAUCACUGAGCAGUUGCUAUGAAAGGUAGUGACUCUGGGAAAUGUGCAGGUCAUAGUGGAUGGCUUUGCUGCAAUGGGGCUCCCUAACUGUGGUGGGGUAAUAGACAGAACCCAUAUCCUUAUCAUGGGACCAGACCACCAAGGCAGCGAGUACAUAAACGGAAAGGGGUGCUUUUCAAUGGUACUGCAAACACUGUCACUGAUGGAUUGCA